AGAAGGCAAAGGACGUUGAUUUUUACCAAUCAUGAGAUUCUAAGUGGUUUAUACUCAUAUUUUCUCUAUAAAACCUUUGCAUCCAAACUGCAAAAGUGGGACUUGGGAACGUAAAGUAGGGAUAACAAGUAGUUAAUUAAUAAGGAGAUUUAUGAAUGCGAUAGCUUUCUUGUUAUCUGAUUUUUACCUGAUUGUAAAAUUUCAAAGUUUUGUAGUAUAAUUUUAAAAACUUUUUACAGCUGUACAACUGUUCUAUAAAUACAUGGAUAAUGUAUAUUUUUAA